AGUCGAGCGGGGAAAGGUAGCUUGCUACUGGACCUAGCGGCGGACGGGUGAGUAAUACUUAGGAAUCUGCCUAUUAGUGGGGGACAACGUUCCGAAAGGAGCGCUAAUACCGCAUACGCCCUACGGGGGAAAGCAGGGGAUCACUUGUGACCUUGCGCUAAUAGAUGAGCCUAAGUCGGAUUAGCUAGUUGGUGGGGUAAAGGCCUACCAAGGCGACGAUCUGUAGCGGGUCUGAGAGGAUGAUCCGCCACACUGGGACUGAGACACGGCCCAGACUCCUACGGGAGGCAGCAGUGGGGAAUAUUGGACAAUGGGGGGAACCCUGAUCCAGCCAUGCCGCGUGUGUGAAGAAGGCCUUUUGGUUGUAAAGCACUUUAAGCGAGGAGGAGAGGCCCUAGGUUAAUACCCUAGGUGCUUGGACGUUACUCGCAGAAUAAGCACCGGCUAACUCUGUGCCAGCAGCCGCGGUAAUACAGAGGGUGCGAGCGUUAAUCGGAUUUACUGGGCGUAAAGCGUGCGUAGGCGGCCAUUUAAGUCGGAUGUGAAAUCCCCGAGCUCAACUUGGGAAUUGCAUUCGAUACUGGGUGGCUAGAGUAUAGGAGAGGAAGGUAGAAUUCCAGGUGUAGCGGUGAAAUGCGUAGAGAUCUGGAGGAAUACCGAUGGCGAAGGCAGCCUUCUGGCCUAAUACUGACGCUGAGGUACGAAAGCAUGGGGAGCAAACAGGAUUAGAUACCCUGGUAGUCCAUGCCGUAAACGAUGUCUACUAGCCGUUGGGGUCUUUGAGACCUUAGUGGCGCAGCUAACGCGAUAAGUAGACCGCCUGGGGAGUACGGUCGCAAGACUAAAACUCAAAUGAAUUGACGGGGGCCCGCACAAGCGGUGGAGCAUGUGGUUUAAUUCGAUGCAACGCGAAGAACCUUACCUGGCCUUGACAUACUAGAAACUUUCCAGAGAUGGAUUGGUGCCUUCGGGAAUCUAGAUACAGGUGCUGCAUGGCUGUCGUCAGCUCGUGUCGUGAGAUGUUGGGUUA
rnacentral:rRNA from 1 species